rnacentral:rRNA from 1 species
AGGCAACUCUGAACCAGCCAAGCCGCGUGAAGGAAGACUGUCCUAUGGAUUGUAAACUUCUUUUGUGGCAGAAUAAACUACCGUACUUGUACGGUAUUGCAUGUAUGCCAUGAAUAAGCAUCGGCUAACUCCGUGCCAGCAGCCGCGGUAAUACGGAGGAUGCAGGCGUUAUCCGGAUUUAUUAGGUUUAAAGGGUGUUCAGGCUGCCUGGUAAGUCAGGGGUGAAAGUCGGUUGCUCAACGAUCGAAUUGCCUUUGAAAACUGUCAGGCUCGAAGUAUGGAUGCGGUAGGCGGAAAUGUGUAGUGUAGCGGUGAAAUGCAUAGAUAUUACAUAGAACACCAAUAGCGAAGGCAGCUUACCAGAUCAUAACUGACACUGAGGGACGAAAGCGUGGGGAGCGAACAGGAUUAGAUACCCUGGUAGUCCACGCCGUAAACGAUGAUCACUAGACAUUGGCGACAUACUGUCGGUGUCAAAGCGAAAGUAUUAAGUGAUCCACCUGGGGAGUACGCCGGCAACGGUGAAACUCAAAGGAAUUGACGGGGGCCCGCACAAGCGGUGGAGCAUGUGGUUUAAUUCGAUGAUACGCGAGGAACCUUACCUGGGCUUAAAUGCAGAACGACCUCCCGAGAAAUCGGGAUUUCUUCGGACGGACUGCAAGGUGCUGCAUGGUUGUCGUCAGCUCGUGCCGUGAGGUGUCGGGUUAAGUCCCAUAACGAGCGCAACCCCUACCGUUAGUUGCCAGCGGAUAAUGCCGGGGACUCUAACGAAACUGCCCGUGCAAGCGGAGAGGAAGGUGGGGAUGACGUCAAAUCAUCACGGCCCUUACGUCCAGGGCUACACACGUGCUACAAUGGCGCAUACAAAGGGCAGCUACCACGCGAGUGGAUGCUAAUCUCGAAAGUGCGUCUCAGUUCGGAUUGAAGUCUGCAACUCGACUUCAUGAAGCUGGAAUCGCUAGUAAUCGCGCAUCAGCCAUGGCGCGGUGAUACGUUCCCGGGCCUUGUACACACCGCCCGUCAAGCCAUGGAAGCUGGGGGUGCCUGAAGUCGGUGACCGCAAGGAGCCGCCUAGGGCAAA